rnacentral:rRNA from 1 species
AGCAGCCGCGGUAAUUCCAGCUCCAAUAGCGUAUAUUAAAGUUGUUGCAGUUAAAAAGCUCGUAGUUGAAUUUCGGAAUCAAUGGAUCGGUCAUGCCACUCGGUGUGUACUGGUUUGAUUGGUUCUCACCUUCUAAGGAACCGUGAUGUCAUUAAUUUGGUGUCGCGGGGAAUUAGGACUGUUACCUUGAAAAAAUUAGAGUGUUUAAAGCAAGCUCACGCUUGAAUACAUUAGCAUGGAAUAAUGAAAUAGGACAUUGUAUUCUAUUUUGUUGGUUUCUAGGAUCGAUGUAAUGAUUAAUAGGGAUAGUUGGGGGCAUUAGUAUUCAAUUGUCAGAGGUGAAAUUCUUGGAUUUAUUGAAGACUAACUACUGCGAAAGCAUUUGCCAAGGAUGUUUUCAUUAAUCAAGAACGAAAGUUAGGGGAUCGAAGACGAUCAGAUACCGUCGUAGUCUUAACCAUAAACUAUGCCGACUAGGGAUCGGAUGAUGUUAAUUUUUAANGACUCAUUCGGCUACCG